CACGUGUUUCAUGCAGAAACAGAUGUCAUUGUGAAGCAGAUUGCUGUGCAGCCGAUGCUUCUCGUACAAUACAGGAUGUAACAGGAUAUAACCUACCUGGUGCCCGGAGGCUCUGCACAGAAGGACGUACUGUCACCUACUAUUGGGCCAAGCCUGGAAGAUGCCGUGACGUCCCCUCUCCCAUGGAGUUUCCAAUCAGACCGCUGGUACAGAUGCCGCUACGGGAUGGGGGGGAGGGGGGGCAAUCACUGCGAUGCUGUUAGGUCAAUCACAUAGGUUUAGUCUCAGACCAGGAACACUGGGACAACACUGCAAUAAGCUUCUCGCUGCAUUCCCAUUUAUCUUUUAGGAGAUGUUUGUUGUAAAAUAAACGCAUUUCCUAUACAGAAUAUUAGGUCCAAUUUAUCAAUUAUAUACUCCAUUUAAUGUAACU